rnacentral:rRNA from 2 species
GCUAAAAACCAUGGGCAAAGUUCGGAACGAACUCUGGUAUUGAUUGGUGCUUGCAUCAUGAUUUACAUUUGAGUGAGUGGCGAACUGGUGAGUAACACGUGGGAAACCUGCCCAGAAGCGGGGGAUAACACCUGGAAACAGAUGCUAAUACCGCAUAACAACUUGGACCGCAUGGUCCGAGCUUGAAAGAUGGCUUCGGCUAUCACUUUUGGAUGGUCCCGCGGCGUAUUAGCUAGAUGGUGGGGUAACGGCUCACCAUGGCAAUGAUACGUAGCCGACCUGAGAGGGUAAUCGGCCACAUUGGGACUGAGACACGGCCCAAACUCCUACGGGAGGCAGCAGUAGGGAAUCUUCCACAAUGGACGAAAGUCUGAUGGAGCAACGCCGCGUGAGUGAAGAAGGGUUUCGGCUCGUAAAACUCUGUUGUUAAAGAAGAACAUAUCUGAGAGUAACUGUUCAGGUAUUGACGGUAUUUAACCAGAAAGCCACGGCUAACUACGUGCCAGCAGCCGCGGUAAUACGUAGGUGGCAAGCGUUGUCCGGAUUUAUUGGGCGUAAAGCGAGCGCAGGCGGUUUUUUAAGUCUGAUGUGAAAGCCUUCGGCUCAACCGAAGAAGUGCAUCGGAAACUGGGAAACUUGAGUGCAGAAGAGGACAGUGGAACUCCAUGUGUAGCGGUGAAAUGCGUAGAUAUAUGGAAGAACACCAGUGGCGAAGGCGGCUGUCUGGUCUGUAACUGACGCUGAGGCUCGAAAGUAUGGGUAGCAAACAGGAUUAGAUACCCUGGUAGUCCAUACCGUAAACGAUGAAUGCUAAGUGUUGGAGGGUUUCCGCCCUUCAGUGCUGCAGCUAACGCAUUAAGCAUUCCGCCUGGGGAGUACGGCCGCAAGGCUGAAACUCAAAGGAAUUGACGGGGGCCCGCACAAGCGGUGGAGCAUGUGGUUUAAUUCGAAGCUACGCGAAGAACCUUACCAGGUCUUGACAUACUAUGCAAAUCUAAGAGAUUAGACGUUCCCUUCGGGGACAUGGAUACAGGUGGUGCAUGGUUGUCGUCAGCUCGUGUCGUGAGAUGUUGGGUUAAGUCCCGCAACGAGCGCAACCCUUAUUAUCAGUUGCCAGCAUUAAGUUGGGCACUCUGGUGAGACUGCCGGUGACAAACCGGAGGAAGGUGGGGAUGACGUCAAAUCAUCAUGCCCCUUAUGACCUGGGCUACACACGUGCUACAAUGGAUGGUACAACGAGUUGCGAACUCGCGAGAGUAAGCUAAUCUCUUAAAGCCAUUCUCAGUUCGGAUUGUAGGCUGCAACUCGCCUACAUGAAGUCGGAAUCGCUAGUAAUCGCGGAUCAGCAUGCCGCGGUGAAUACGUUCCCGGGCCUUGUACACCACCCUCUCUAGUCACACCUAUGAGCAGUUUUGUUCAAACCC